rnacentral:rRNA from 1 species
UCAAGUGUCUUAAGGGCGUUUGGUGAAUGCCUAGGCGACAAGAGGCGAUGAAGGACGUGAUACGCUGCGAUAAGCGUCGGGGAGCUGCGAAUAAGCUUUGAUCCGACGAUUUCCGAAUGGGGAAACCCACUCCGCAAGGAGUAUCCCAGACCGUAUGGUUUGGGAAGCGAACCCGGGGAACUGAAACAUCUAAGUACCCGGAGGAAAGGACAUCAACCGAGACUCCGCUAGUAGUGGCGAGCGAACGCGGACCAGGCCAGUGGCUUACAUUUAAGAACCGGAACGCUCUGGAAAGUGCGGCAUUAAUGGGUGAUAGCCCCGUACGGGUAGAAAGAAUGUAAGUCCUCGAGUAGGGCGGGACACGUGAAAUCCUGUCUGAACAUGGGGGGACCACCCUCCAAGCCUAAGUACUCCUUGUCGACCGAUAGUGAACCAGUACCGUGAGGGAAAGGUGAAAAGCACCCCGACGAGGGGAGUGAAAUAGAUCCUGAAACCGAACGCCUACAAACAGUUGGAGCCCAAGGUUUGUCCUGGGUGACAGCGUACCUUUUGUAUAAUGGGUCAGCGACUUAGUUUAAUGAGCAAGCUUAAGCCGAUAGGUGUAGGCGCAGCGAAAGCGAGUCUGAAUAGGGCGUCUUAGUUCGUUUGACUAGACCCGAAACCGGGUGAUCUAGCCAUGAGCAGGCUGAAGGUGCAGUAACAUGCACUGAAGGGCCGAACCCACGAAUGUUGAAAAAUUCGGGGAUGACUUGUGGCUAGGGGUGAAAGGCCAAUCAAACCCGGAAAUAGCUGGUUCUCCGCGAAAUCUAUUUAGGUAGAGCGUUGGAUGAAUACCUCGGGGGGUAGAGCACUGGAUGGGCUAGGGGAUCUCACCGAUUUACCAAACCUAACCAAACUCCGAAUACCCGAGAGUACUAUCCAGCAGACACACGGCGGGUGCUAACGUCCGUCGUGGAGAGGGAAACAACCCUGACCGCCGAUUAAGGUCCCGAAGUCAUGGCUAAGUGGGAAAGGAUGUAGAACUCCCAAAACAACCAGGAUGUUGGCUUAGAAGCAGCCAUCAUUUAAAGAAAGCGUAACAGCUCACUGGUCUAAUUAAGGGGUUCCGCGCCGACAAUGUAACGGGGCUCAAGCCAUGCACCGAAAUCGCGGGCUCAGCAAUGAGCGGUAGCGGAGCGUUCUGUAAGUCUGCGAAGGGAGAUCCGCGAGGGCUCCUGGAGAUAUCAGAAGUGCGAAUGCUGACAUGAGUAACGAUAAAGGGUGUGAGAGACACCCUCGCCGAAAGUCCAAGGGUUCCUGCGCAACGCUAAUCGGCGCAGGGUUAGCCGGCUCCUAAGGCGAGGCCGAAAGGCGUAGUCGAUGGGAAUGCAGUGAAUAUUCUGCAGCCAGCGGGUAGUGACGAAUGCCGUGUGUUGUAUCUCCUUACUGGAUUGGAGAUGCUUCGAAGGUGUUCCAGGAAAUAGCUCCCGCAUUAUUGACCGUACCCGAAACCGACACAGGUGGACUGGUAGAGCAUACCAAGGCGCUUGAGAGAACUAUGCUGAAGGAACUCGGCAAAUUGCUCCCGUAAGUUCGCGAGAAGGGAGCCUUCGGAUUGGGCAACCAGUUCGGAGGGGCACAGACCAGGGGGUUGCGACUGUUUAUCAAAAACACAGGGCUCUGCGAAGCCGCAAGGCGACGUAUAGGGUCUGACGCCUGCCCGGUGCCGGAAGGUUAAAAGGAGUUGUGCAAGCAGCGAAUUGAAGCCCCGGUAAACGGCGGCCGUAACUAUAACGGUCCUAAGGUAGCGAAAUUCCUUGUCGGGUAAGUUCCGACCUGCACGAAUGGCGUAACGACUUCCCCGCUGUCUCCAA